rnacentral:rRNA from 1 species
AGUUGGUGAGGUAACGGCUCACCAAGACCGCGAUGGGUAGCCGGCCUGAGAGGGUGAACGGCCACACUGGAACUGAGACACGGUCCAGACUCCUACGGGAGGCAGCAGUGGGGAAUAUUGCACAAUGGAGGAAACUCUGAUGCAGCGACGCCGCGUGAGUGAAGAAGGCCUUCGGGUCGUAAAACUUUGUCCUAGGGGACGAUAAUGACGGUACCCUAGGAGGAAGCCCCGGCUAGCUACGUGCCAGCAGCCGCGGUAAUACGUAGGGGGCAAGCGUUGUCCGGAUUUAUUGGGCGUAAAGGGUGCGCAGGCGGCCUUUUAAGUCAGAUGUGAAAGCCCACGGCUCAACCGUGGUAAGCAUUUGAAACUGGAAGGCUUGAGUUAAGGAGAGGAAAGUGGAAUUCCUAGUGUAGCGGUGAAAUGCGUAGAUAUUAGGAGGAAUACCAGUGGCGAAGGCGACUUUCUGGACUUAUACUGACGCUGAGGCACGAAAGCGUGGGGAGCAAACAGGAUUAGAUACCCUGGUAGUCCACGCCGUAAACGAUGAGCGCUAGGUGUUGGGGGUCAAACCUCGGUGCCGCAGCUAACGC